UACGGGGGGGGCAAGCGUUGUUCGGAAUUACUGGGCGUAAAGGGCUCGUAGGUGGCCAACUAAGUCAGACGUGAAAUCCCUCGGCUUAACCGGGGAACUGCGUCUGAUACUGGAUGGCUUGAGUUUGGGAGAGGGACGCGGAAUUCCAGGUGUAGCGGUGAAAUGCGUAGAUAUCUGGAGGAACGCCGGUGGCGAAGGCGGCGUCCUGGACCAACACUGACACUGAGGAGCGAAAGCCAGGGGAGCAAACGGG
rnacentral:rRNA from 1 species